AGGGUGAAGGGUAGGCUGUCAUUUGAUAAUUCUAUUUUCUGUUCUUUAUCCCUUUGAGAAAGAACAAGGAAUUCCAGAUGAACCUGAUGAAUGAACAUAUGUAAAAAGAAUUAUCAAAAGCUAAAAAUGGAAUGAGAUGGCUUAUAAUCAAAGGAGGGCAACUGGAAUUUUGAGGAAGAAAUGCUUCCUUGAAUAAAUUUUUCCAACUACAAUAAUACAGGUAUGGUAUUUAGGAAUAAGAAGUAAAAACAAAAGUUGAAAAGACUGCUUCUAGGAGUUAAUAUUAAGGAU